UACGUAGGUGGCAAGCGUUAUCCGGAUUUACUGGGUGUAAAGGGCGCGUAGGCGGGGAUGCAAGUCAGAUGUGAAAUCUAUGGGCUUAACUCAUAAACUGCAUUUGAAACUGUAUCUCUUGAGUGCUGGAGAGGUAGAUGGAAUUCCUUGUGUAGCGGUGAAAUGCGUAGAUAUAAGGAAGAACACCAGUGGCGAAGGCGAUCUACUGGACAGUAACUGACGCUGAGGCGCGAAAGCGUGGGGAGCAAACAGG
rnacentral:rRNA from 1 species